rnacentral:miRNA from 2 species
UGACAGAAGAGAGUGAGCAUA